CAUAACACCUAUGGGGGUAGAUAUUGUUAUUAUUCCCACUUUUAAGGUUGGGAGCUUGGGGCAGAGUGAAGUUAAGGAAUUUGCCCAAUGCCACCCAGCUGGUAAGUGGCAGAGCCAAGAUUUGAACCCAAGCAGACUGGCAUCCAUAUUUCCAGCCACUAUCUCUACUGCUCUUGGUGACUGAUUGCUCUUAUUCUUUUGGCAUAAACAGAUGCACAAAUGAAUGACCAAAUGUGUAUGGCUGGAUCCCCAAACACACACUGCCUCACUGGACCAAGAUGCUUGACUGGGCAAGACCUGGAAGCCCCUUUCUGGCCUCACUCUCCUCCUCUGUAGGAUGGAGCCAUGAAAUGCUCUGCUCUCUUCUCUUUUCCUUGCUGUCCCCGGGGCUGGAGGAGCACAGGCCUCCCAGGCACAGGACCUUGGCCUUGCUGGAUUCCCAUCUUCUUCCAAAUGUUGAGCCUAGGGUGGCCAGAAAUAAGAGGCGCCGGACUUGCUACUGCCGAUGUGGAAACCGGGGCAGCUGCAGCCUGGGUGGCUCUGGGCUGGGUGCCCUGACCCUGCCCAGAGGGGCCUAAGCAGGCCCACCACCCCAGGCCCCAACCCGGGCAAUGGAUGGCCUGAGUUAACCCCCAUACCAGGCCUCCAUCACUCCUAUCCCCAGCAGCUCCCGCCAAGAGGAAAGGGCCAGGCAGGGCUGUCACUCAAGACCGAGCAGGUGGUCCAGGCCGGGAGGUGCAGGGGUGAGAGCUCUGGUCUCGGCUCUGUCCUUUGUUCACUGAGGCCCUUUGGCCAUCCCUGACCCACUCCAGGCCUUGGCUUCCUCUUUUGUGUGGUGAUCGAGGCACCCAUGAUCUAAAAUCCCUCACCCAUUUCUGCCGCAGUUCUGACAUCCCUUAAUUUUCCAUCCCUUAGUUUUGGGAACAGUGUCUGCGCUGAGGCUGGGACCCUCAGAGAGGGGCUUGGCAUAGGCCUUGACAGAGAGGGGACCUGGAGAGACUGGGGGGAAGGAAGAGGCAUGCCAGGUGGGAGGACUAGACUAGGGCCAGGUAUGGAGGUGGGAAGGCCAGGACCAAGUUUGGAACUUAAGGUGUUGAUGGGACAGACUCGAGAGUGGUAGGUGACAAGGCUGAUCUGGAUCCAAAGCGGGAGGAAGAUUUGAGGGUCCUCCUUAUUCAUGCAAACUUUAGGAAAGUGUCUGAGACCCACUUCACAUUCUUCCUCAGAAGAAAGACAAAUGGGUAUUUGGGGGGUGGGGGCAGGGCCAGCCCUGCCCUUCCAUCCACCAAGGAGAUGGGUGCCCAUGUGGUGUGAUGGGGGUGCCUCAUGAGGGACCUGAACCUUUCUCCAUGUGUCGAGUGCCUGGAGGUCCAGCAUCAGGGCCAGGCUCAGGAUUCCGCAUUGCCGUCUUCCCGAACCUGUUUUGUUUCUAAGCUGCUAUUGCAAGAAGGGGAGGGAGAUGACUUUGCUUCUCGUUGAGUUUGCUGACGGCGUCUGACCUCUGGGGGAAGAGUUUCUUUGCAGGAAGGCCCAGGCCUGAGCCCCCGGGAGCUGACCAGUCCACUGACUGGGUUCAGCCACCCCUUCGGCCCAGGAGGUCCUGAGAUGCCCACCUCACAAGUAGCUCCGCCUAGUUCUCAAGGCCUGCCUGUCACAGCACAAGGAGUGGUUCCGGUCAGAGAGGCUUCGGGGACCCCAAGACCCUGAGGCCCAGCCCGGCCCCCGCCAUCCUGCCCCUGCCUUGGCGCCUCGGGUCGGCCCAAGUGCUGAGUUGGCAGCCCAGCAGCUGCUCCUGCCCACGGAGGCCCAGUUAUAAAUAAGCCCAAUGUGGCCAAGUCAUCAAGUUCUGCCCCAGCUGCACUACCUCAGUGACCACAGGUUGGGGCUGCCCAGAACCAAGCCCACCAGAACCUGCCCACCCAGGCCAGAGCCGGGUCAGCCCUGACGCCUGUCGGGGUCCUCAGAUCCAGGGUCCAAGCAUCACAGCUGCCUGGGCCUGGGCCUGCCAGGACUCAGGCCGCAGAAGGGGCAGGGCCUAUCCCGCCUGCACGGAGCCAGCAGCUAUUUACAAACCGAAACCGGGAGAAGUGAAGUGGCUGCGGCCAAAGUGGCUCCAGGCCCCCAGCCCCCACUCCCACCCCAUCCCCGGCCGCCCCAUCCCCCCUCUCCUCAUGGCUUCCUCUUUCCUUCCCCACACAGCUCCCCAACCUCCCACUGCUCAGCCAGCUCUCUCUGGACAGCCUGCCAGCGCUUCACAGUGACCCCUGCCCCACAGCUGCUUGCCUGGGGGGGGUCUCCCUCUAUUCCUCACCCCCAGAGCCCCAUCAGUCUGGGCUCCGUGGAGCAGCCCCCUCCCACCUGGGCCUAGCCCACUCUGGCCUACUCAAGGCACAUUCCCACAGUUCUCAGUUCCCCUUCGUGCUUGGAAAAGCUCCAACACCAGUGGCCACCAUGACGCUGCCCAUCUCCCUGCCUGAGGGGGGAGACUUGACCUUCUUGGUGGGGCAAGGAAUCUGGGGUGCUGUGGUGGAACUCAGGGCACCUGGGGGCUUCAGGGGUCCUGUUUCUGGGCAGGAGGCCCCGGCCAUCAAUCUCCUCCAGUUGGGUUUUGGCCUGCUUAUCAGGCUGGUGUGGGUCACAGGCCCUCGUGCAGUACAGAAUUCAGCUGGGACAGGUGGACACUGGGCUCGAGACCAUGUCACAGGCUGCUUUAGAACUGGCAGGCAGGAUGGUGCUGUAGCAGGGGACUGUUCCACGGAGAGACGACAGACAGCAUAAUUAAUACUCAUUUCUAAUAAUAGACGAAAUCCCUCACGUUGGCGCAGAGGGAUAUGGUUCACAUCAGCCUGUUCGUUCUGUCCCCAGAACAAGCCCAUCCCGUUACAUCCAUCACAGAGCGGACACUGGGGCUCGGAGGCGAACUCACACGGCCAAGGUGGCACAGCUAGUAAGUGUCUGGACUGAGAGUCAGGAUUUCCUGAUACCCAGUCCCCUUCUCCCUCCAUCUGCCUGCCCCUUGCUCCAGCUUGUACCUCAGUCUCCCUCCCCGGGAGGACAGAAGUUUCCCAGCACUGUGACAAGGCAGGAGCUGGGCUGGCCUGAAGCUCAAGGGGGCCUUGGACAGCAGAAUUGCCAGGUGGGGUUGUCAGUGCCCAGAGUCCCCUUCCCUGCCCCAAGGGAAGUCUCUGCCUGCCCCAUUCCUUGCCCCUCACCAAGUCCAGCUGAGGCACAGCUACCGCCAGAGCCCACUCACCCACAGCCAGCUGGCUGACUGUGUUUCACCUGACUUCUCUGAGACUCAGAAUCCUCUUCUAUGAAUUGUCAUUCCACAAACACAGAGUGCCUACUCCAUGCCAGGGCAGGGUGUAAGCCGUCUCUAGAAUUAGGACAGACCUGUGGAGAAGGCAGGUGAGUUACAAAACCCUGAGCGCUCUGAGAGGAAAACUGAGGCUGUGGAACACCAGGAAAAUGUGAUGAGUGCUUCCUGGUGUGAGGAGCCAUGCCACUUGGGUUGGGGCAGGAAAGAGUUCCCUGACAAAAGCAGGGGGGACGAGUGAGUGCUCCAUGCUGAGUCACACCCCUGUGCCUUGGCUCCAGCAGUUCCCACGGUCUGAAUGCCGUUCCUUCCUCUGGUGCCGGUGAACUCCUACACAUAUGUCAGGGCCCAUGGACACAUCAUAGCAUGACCAGGCCUGGCCUGGCCUGAUGGCUCAUCACCUCCCUCCUCCCACCCAGGGCCUGAGCAUACCCGGAGGCCGGCCUUCUCAGCGUCCUCGUCAGCCCCACCCAGGCAGGCAUCUGCUCUGGGGCUCGAGCCCCCGCCGUCCUCUGCUCCAAAAAGCACCGUUUCCCUUUUCUGGGUGACCACACGCCAUGCACAGGGAAUUUCCAUCUCGGCCUGUGGAGCCUCUGAUUCACUCGGGCCCUUUAUGCAGUUAACUCCUUCCGAGUCCGUGCCUCCUGCUCCCGCACCCUGGGCUGCCCCUCAUGCCCGCCCUGGAUCCCUUGGUAGCCUCAAACUGGCUUUGGGGCCCACAGCCUGGAAAUCAAGUCAGCCCCUAACUCACUGGCCCCCUCAGGGCCCUCUCACUCCCCUCCUAUGCCCAGAGACCCCUGACCCCCAGGCUUCUGGAACACACAUGAGGGCAGCAUUUGGGCUGAGAGCACAGGCUUUGGAAUAAGAUAAGUCUGGUCCAACCCUCAUUCUGGCCCUUUCUACUUUGCCACCUGGAGCGGUAUAAAGAUCUGCUCUGAGCCCCACUUCUCAUCUGUAAAACUGAGACAAGUCCUGUCCCGUAGAUCCAGUGUGCUGGGCCCAUCACAGGGGCUCAGGAGUGAUUAUUUUUCCUUCUUUGCAAAGGCCCCCUCAUUCUAUCACCGGGUCCCUACUCCAGCCCUGGGCCCCCUUUCCCCGUCUGGCUUUCCUCUCCCAAGAGCUCAGGCAGGGAGGGGGAAAGAAGUACGGGCAGGGCAGGGGAGGGCAGACUGCUGCUGUCUCAAGACUCUCCUCCUCCAGCUUCCCAGCUCCUCACAUUUCUCAGUUUUUCCAACAAGGCUUCAGAGAGGCUAGGAGCUCCGAGGAGCUGAGGGCCACAGAGAUCCUGAGGCCUCGGGGACAGGGCUGAGCCUUCCUCCCCUCAAGAGAUGCCUGGUGUGUGCAUCACACAGGAGCAUCACACAUCUCUAAUUCUCACAGCCCUGUGUGGUCCAUCCUGUUAUUGCCCCCGUUUUACAGAUGAGGACACAGAGGCUCUGAGGAGUGACUUUUCCUCAGCCACACAGUGAAUAAAGGGCAGGGACGAGAUUCAGAUCAAGGUCUCUGGAGCUUUCCUCCUAACCUCCACAAGGCUCAGUAAGGAGGCCAGUGAGGGAAACGUGCACUUCAGUGAAACCCUACUGUAUACAAGGGGAAGGCUUACCCAGAUCGCCUUUCUGUCCUCUGCAAUGUGGGGGCUGGGGCUUGUGGACCCCUUGGUAGAACUGAGGCGUCUGAACUUCGGGGAGGGGAAGGAGCUCGCCCAUAGGCCGCAUAGCCAGCCAAUUGUGGGGAAGGAUCCAGGGGUACCUCGACAGAAGAGAAUGGUGUUGGGGGCUCCAUAGAAUAGGGGACCUGGUUGGGGGGGGAAGUGGCUCCUGUCCUCAGUGAGCAAGCGGGAGGGGGGGUGCUGCCCGUGGUGAGCAGGAGGAAGUCGCUGUGGGUGGCGGUGGGUUUGAGGUGCCGGAGGCUGAGUGAUGUGGCCAGGAGGUGAGGUCCCUGUCUGCAGCCCUGGUCAGCAGGAGACAAGGGUGUGGAGGGGGGACCGGGAAUCAGGGCAUGAAGGAGGUUGGGCUGCUCUGAGAUCUGUGCCCCUGGCCAUGGGGACUGGGGAGCAGGGGGCAGGAGCUGGCGCUGAGUGCGGGGAGAGACUCUGCAGAGCUGGGGAGAGAUGGAGGUGAAGGGAGUAUCUGGGGCACAGCCAGGAGUAGGCGAGCCCUCGAAAGACAGAGGCCUAAAGGAGUGGAAGAGGGUGAGACUGUGAGCAAAGGCCGUGGGAGAUUGAGAAAGAGGUUCUGGGAAUGUUGAGUAGUGUCUUCUGGCUGGAGGUGGGGGUGGGGCUGGUCCACUUGGGGUGGGGGAGGGUGGAAAGACUGGCUGGACUCCCGGGUGUUGGGGGCCCCAGCACGGGCCUCAGAGCUUUGGACUUCAGCCUGUGAACAAACAAGGGCUAAGGAAGAUCUUUAGGUAGGGGAACACCCAUGGGAGAAGCUCGAGUUGGGAGCAGCUGCAUAAGCACAUGUCCUGGGGCUGCUCAGAGUGGCAGUCACCUCCCACCCCACCCCAGCUCCUAGCUGUGUGUUCUCAGGUGCAACCCCUUGCCAACCGGACCUGGGUUUCCUGUCUGUAAAAUGGCCCUGAUGGUAAAUUCCCAGGAUGGAGGGAGGUGGAAUGAGGUAAUGCAGGUUGCCUGCAGGGCCUCAAGCCAAUGUGGGGUCCUUUCCCCUGGCUUUGUCCUGGCCCUUGUCCUGGCUCACAGCACCUUGUGAGUGCCUGCUGUGGAUGCGAGCUGGGGUCUCCAGACCUGGGUUUAAGCCUCACUUGUACUUCUGUUGGCUGAGUCAUGGGCCACUUCUGAGCCUCAGUUUCCUCAACUGAGGUACCACGGGGAUGAUAAGGGCCCCAGCUUCAGGUAUGAUUUAAGGAAAUGAACGCUGCAAGGGUGCUGCUGUUCUCCCAGAGCCAAAACCAAAUUCCACCCAAUGCCCCCCAAAACUCGCCUGACCUGUCCCUCCCCCACCCCCAGCUGGCUCUGCUCUCACUGGGGUCCUUGCGGGUCCCCCCUGCCUGGAGCUCUUCUCCCAGAUAUCUGCUUAGCUGGCUCUUUCCAUCUCUUCCAGGGUUUGUUCAGAUGUCGCCUUCUCUGAGGCCUGCCCUGCCCACCCUCUUCAGACUGCAGACUGCCCUCCACCCCACCCCGCCUGCCACCCCCCUUCCCCAGUUGGGCAGUGUCCUUUCCCAUAGCUCUUGCUACCGUGCAAGUAAUGCUCCCACCUACUCUGCUCAUGCCCUGUCUUCUCUGCUCCAGAACACGCCCCAGGGGACAGGGAUCUUAGCCUGUUUGGUCGCCUGGCCCGUAAAGGCCCUGAACACAUUAUUUGCUGGAUACCUUAAUGCACCAAAGAGCCAGCACAGUGCUCUGACCAGAGCUUGGGGAGCUCUGAGGGGCCCUAGGAGCCUCUCCCAGUGUCUCAACCAUGAGAGGAAGUUGCAAGACGGCCAUUUCUGUACACAGGCUCAGCUCUCUUUGGUCAACUUUCCCAGCUCGUGCUCUGAGGCCUGAGAUUUCCCACAUGCCCCAUCGCACUCCAUGGAAACGGUCGCUGGGAAAGUGGGGAGGGGGGCAUUCUCUUCUUUCAGAGGUCUUUUGGGCUGAGGUUGAGGGGUUCUGUGGGAGGUGGGGUCGAGUGCCCCAUGUGGACUCAGCUUCGAGGACACGGUGCCCACGUUUCCGAUUGUGAUGCAACAGCACCCAGCCUACCGCCUCAGCCACCCAGCCCAGUGGGGACAAAGGCCACCAGGCCCUCUGCCAUCCCGGGCCUGCCUGACCUCCCUGUCACUCAGUAGGGCCCGCCCUACACAGCCGCCCACAGCCAGUGGGGUGGGGAACAGCGCUGUCAUGUGCUGCCAGUGGGAGGGUGGGGUGCUACCACUUCUAUCCAGGACAAUGUGACAAUAUCUCUAUAUCCAUCUAUCUAUUUAAGAAUUAAAAAUUCAGUGCCCUUAAAACUAAUACAGUGUGAUACAACACUUAUAUCUCAGUUUUUAAAAAUACCUUUGAUGUCAAAAGCAGUGUCAAACAUUUCUGCAUAUACUUCAAUUUAAAAAAUAAAACAUUUUUAAUUAAAAAAAUUUUCUGUGCAUCUACAUUAUAGAAUCUAAAUAAUUAUCCGGUCUUUUUCCCAAUGAGUUAAGAUAGAGAACUAUGUCAUUUUCAAUAUUACUUAUAAUCGAAGGGCUUUUAAUUUCUAUUUUAGGUAAUUUCUGAUACUAUUUAUUAGUGUCUACAGGGAGAUGCGUGAAUGUUUUUGACUCAGCCUGUAUUUGGUUGUGGUGAUUUUCACUUCAGUAUCAGUCUCUUAAUUGUCAAGAAUAGCCUUGAAAAAUUAAAUAUAGAGAAACAAUUUA